rnacentral:lncRNA from 1 species
CAGUAAAGCAGCAUCUCCACGUGGACUCUGGCUCCCUGCAUCAGUACCACCUUGGGAGACUGGGAAGCAAAGGUCUCAGCAUGAACCACAAUCAACUAAAUCUUCACACCUUUCUAGGCGCUGCUUCAGAGGCACUGGGAGUCCAUAGAGAACAUGUUUUAUACUACAUGUCACCCUUCUAAAGCUCUAACAUAUCUGACUUCCAAAACACACAUAGUCUUAUGGCUUCACAACUUAUGAAUCCUCUGCCUAAGGAUGGUGUUUUGGAUGUGAAUUCUGGAGAUUUCAUGAGAUCCAAGCAGGAUCCGGAUUGCAUUCUGGAGUGCAUUCUAUGA